CUACGGUGAAUACGUUCCCGGGCCUUGUACACACCGCCCGUCAAGCCAUGGAAGUUGGGGGUACCUGAAGCCCGUAACCGCAAGGAGCGGUCUAAGGUAAAACCAAUGACUGGGGCU
rnacentral:rRNA from 1 species